CCCUAACGCAAAAUCUUUGUGACUUUGGACCGUAAUAUCCUUAACCAUGUGUUUUCUUGUGAAAACACAUGGUUAGGGAUGCUACGUGUCAAAAAUCUGGAAAGAUUCGGACGGCAGUGGUUGGCCGGAGUUUUCCCUCCAUCGGUACUUAUCUCUAGCAUUGAGUGGUGUAUGUGUUUACAAGCUGAAUAAAACUGAAUU